rnacentral:rRNA from 1 species
AUGAAGGGACGCUUAGACAAAGGAAUGCAUCAAACGACGGGCUCCUUUGGCGUGGGACUGGCUGGCGUCGGCGUUGGCAUCACUGUGCUCGGGUUGUUCGGUGUCGGCGUGGCUUAUGUGCUCGGGCUGGGCGUCGGUGUUGGGGUCGGCGUGGGAGUAGACGUAGGCGCGGUAGUCGAAGGCAUCUGGUUCAAGAUGAGGUCGUGCUCCGCCAAGUACCACACCUUGACCUGCUCGUCCAUCGUCGACAUGUCCGCUCCCAUCAAGAACGCCAGGUCGGUGUUCCUCUUCUUCGCAGCGGCAUUGGUCCGGAGUAGGUCGAGCUUGACGACGCUGUUUGUCAUCAACGCCGACCACAGCGUCUCGGAUUUCUCCUCCCUGUUGGCGGCGUGGUUCUUGGCGUCGGUGAUGCACUGCUUGAUCGACGAUUGCAGCCGGUGUGGCGUCAUGGCUCUUUUGUUGCCGUCAGGGCGCCCAUCCGUCGUCCCCGGGGUGGGCGCGUCCGGCUUGUACGUCUCCUUGGCCUUGGCGAGGGUGCGCCGGACAUCCGUCCACUUCUCGCACUUCUUGAUCCGGGUGAACACGUGGAGGAACUUGAACUCUUGGUCAUUGCUGUCCUCGCGGUAA